rnacentral:piRNA from 1 species
GGCCGGUUAGCUCAGUUGGUAAGAGCUUGGU